AAUUGGCCAUAACGGCCGAUAUGUCCCGUAACCGUAUCGGUAACGAUGGGCACCGUUAUGCUCACCGUUACCGCAAUCCUACGCCUUGAUUACAAUAGAACAUUUUGCAACAAACCUGAAUAACAAAUCUAGUUCUGGCCAUGGAAACCUAAUUCCACGGGGAAUUUCAUGGUAGUUUUUUUAUUGGUUCCUUCUUUGGGGUGAAAUGGGUAUUAUUGUCCUGCCAUUGGGCUACUAUAUGUUCAAGCCUAUUGCCAACACAUGAGGUGGCUAAAAGACAUUGAAGGACUGAAAAUCCUCGUGUCACUAAUUCAAAUCUGAUUCCGGCACAUGGUAAAAGUGAAAUAUGAAAAAAAAAAUGCUAUGUUUCAAGAAUCGAAAAUAAA